rnacentral:tRNA from 1 species
GCCUCCAUAGCAUAGUGGCAGUGCGUUUGCUUCGUAAGCGAAAGGUCGUGAGUUCAAUCCUCACUAGAGGCU